GUUCAACUGACGGGUUCCAAAUAGGACGAAACGCGUGUUCUCAAU
rfam:Schistosoma haematobium scaffold229_7, whole genome shotgun sequence.